rnacentral:rRNA from 1 species
CCAAUAGCGUAUAUUAAAGUUGUUGCAGUUAAAAAGCUCGUAGUUGAAUUUCGAGACCGGUCUACUGGUCGUGCUUUUGUAUGUACUAGUAUAAUCGGUUUCUCUCUUCUGACGAACUAUAAUGCCAUUAAUUUGGUGUUUUAGGGAAUCAGGACUGUUGCUUUGAAAAAUUAGAGUGUUUAAAGCAGGCUCACGCUUGAAUACAUUAGCAUGGAAUAACGAAAUAGGACGUUUGAUUCUAUUUUGUUGGUUUCUAGGAUCGACGUAAUGAUUAAUAGGGAUAGUUGGGGGCAUUAGUAUUCAAUUGUCAGAGGUGAAAUUCUUGGAUUUAUUGAAGACUAACUACUGCGAAAGCAUUUGCCAAGGAUGUCUUCAUUAAUCAAGAACGAAAGUUAGGGGAUCGAAGACGAUCAGAUACCGUCGUAGUCUUAACCAUAAACUAUGCCGACUAGGGAUCGGAUGAUGUUAAAUUAAUGACUCAUUCGGCACCUUACG